rnacentral:rRNA from 1 species
GUCUACGGCCAUGCUACCCUGAACAAGCCCGAUCCCAUCUGAUCUCGGAAGCUAAGCAGGGUUGGGCCUGGUUAGUACUUGGAUGGGAGACCACCUAGGAAGACCAGGUGCUGUAGGUG